rnacentral:lncRNA from 1 species
AGUAACCAUAUUCAUGUAGGUUCUGAGAGUUGCGAUUGCGACUCUUCGACCUAUCCGGAUAUCGGGUACCAUUGCUAGAUGGUCACUUCGAUUAGUACAGGAAUUAGUUCCUAUGCUACCGGCUUAGGUUCGAACCUGCGAGGUCACACAUAUUAGAAGUUCCUAUCUAAUCUGAUGGCUGAUGUAGAAUCCUACAUGUUUGGAACUCAGUGAUUGAGAAUCAAGAUUCUCUGAUCAUGAGUUCCACACAUUAUGGGUACCGGGGUCAAGAGUCCCACUGGUUGGAACUUUUCGAUCAGGGUUACAUAUCGAUGAAUUCUGAUGCCCGAUUGCCCAUCAGAUUUGGACUCAGUAUUUAUGAGAGAUUUAAUUAAUGAUUUGAUCACUAAUUAACUCAAUUUGAUUGAGUAAUUAUUUUUGGAUCAAGUCCAAUUGAAUUGGAUUCAGUUGGGUUUGACCCGAUUAGGUUAAGAGUUGACCUAAUCAUCAAGAUGGUUUGGUCUCUGAUUUGAUCAGGGGUUGGACUUAGUCAAUUCCUGAUUUGAUUAAGAUUUUAUUGAGCCUAAUUAAGUCUAAUUUAGUUGGAUUUAAAUUAGUCUAAUUGAACCUAAAUUAUUUGGUUCAAUUAGGUUAGUUUAAAUAAUUAAACCACCUUGACCCAAUCUCCAUGCGCCACCUCACUUCCAUUGCACCC